ACUUCAGGGGGAGUAUGGUCACAAGGCUGAAACUUAAAGGAAUUGACGGAAGGGCACACCAGGAGUGGAGCCUGCGGCUUAAUUUGACUCAACACGGGAAAACUUACCAAGACCGAACAGUAGUAGGAAUGACAGAUUAAUGGUUCUUUCAUGAUUUAUUGGGUAGUGGUGCAUGGCCGUUCUUAGUUGGUGGAGUGAUUUGUCAGGUUAAUUCCGGUAACGAACGAGACUGAAACCUAUUAAUUAGUUGCUUACCUAUACGAUAAGCAUGUAGCAAUACAGCUGCUCGCAGCACUUCUUAAAGGGACACAUUUCAAUUGUCUCAUUCUAUUCUGUGUCAGGUACUUCGGUAUCUACCUCUAUAGAAGGAGAAAAAGAAAAAGGAAGCAUUCAGCAAUAACAGGUCUGUGAUGCCCUUAGACAUCUUGGGCCGCACGCGCGCUACAAUGGAGUUACUAUAGAGUAUUUAGGUAGUAGGUCCCUUUUUGAGGCUUCGGUUUCAGGGAGGAUCAACCUAUUAUCAUAGCAAGUCUGAAAUAGAUUAUCAAAACUCAAAAGAACGUACUUGACAGGGAUAAAUGAUUGGAAUUAUUUGUUUUGAACAAGGAAUUCCUUGUAAUAUCGAGUCAUUAACUCAAGAUGAAUACGUCCCUGCCCUUUGUACACACCGCCCGUCGCUCCUACCGAUUGAAUAAAGAGGUGAAAUUCUAGGAUCUUGCUGGUAACAGCGAGAAAAUGGAUUUAAAUCUCCUUUAUUUAGAGGAAGGAGAAGUCGUAACAAGGUUUCCGUACGUGAACCU
rnacentral:rRNA from 1 species